UCCAAGGGACCCAGAGAUGAAUCAGACAU
rnacentral:piRNA from 1 species